rnacentral:rRNA from 1 species
AUUGAACGCUGGCGGCAGGCCUAACACAUGCAAGUCGAGCGGAUGAAGGGAGCUUGCUCCUGGAUUCAGCGGCGGACGGGUGAGUAAUGCCUAGGAAUCUGCCUGGUAGUGGGGGAUAACGUCCGGAAACGGGCGCUAAUACCGCAUACGUCCUGAGGGAGAAAGUGGGGGAUCUUCGGACCUCACGCUAUCAGAUGAGCCUAGGUCGGAUUAGCUAGUUGGUGGGGUAAAGGCCUACCAAGGCGACGAUCCGUAGCUGGUCUGAGAGGAUGAUCAGUCACACUGGAACUGAGACACGGUCCAGACUACUACGGGAGGCAGCAGUGGGGAAUAUUGGACAAUGGGCGAAAGCCUGAUCCAGCCAUGCCGCGUGUGUGAAGAAGGUCUUCGGAUUGUAAAGCACUUUAAGUUGGGAGGAAGGGCAGUAAGUUAAUACCUUGCUGUUUUGACGUUACCAACAGAAUAAGCACCGGCUAACUUCGUG